UCUUCUUGCAGAGGCCAGUAAAGAGGCUGUAAAGGCUUUACGCAGCAUGGGGACAUGCUCAGAUGUGCUUUGAGAUCACUCCAGCUCUUAUAUGAAGAAUAGAUUAGACAGGGACAGAGGAAGUGCAGACGCAAGAAGAGCAAGGAGGAGGUGUGAGCAGUGCAAGGGAGGAACCAAAGAUAAACUGCAUUCCAGGGGGAGGGCACGCAGCAGCAGCAGCAGCAGCAGCAGCAGCAGCAGCAGCAGCGGAGCCUGAUCGGAAAAAGGAGCCGGCCACUGGGAGGAAUCCAGAGAGACCUGGGGCCAAUGCCUGGAACAGGAGAUAGGGAGUGGAAAGGAAGCCCAGGACAGCAGGCCACCCUGAGGAAGCAGGCUCAGUCAGAGACUGGGCAGCUCAUCAACAUGCAGAGCUAUUUCAGCUCAUUUAUGAACUCCAGUCCCCACUGAAAACAAUGCUGGAGUUUUCCUGUUUAACAUAAAAUACUGGCAUUGCUGAAGGUGAUACAAGCCUCAUGAUGGGACACUACAGAGAUGUCUUCAAAGACCAAUUAGUAAAAAGCAAAGCGUCCUUAAGAUCAGUCAGUAUCUAUUACAGGCUGGGGAUUGAACCCCAGACCUGUCACAUGCCAGGCAAGUGCUCGAACACUGCACUACAUCUCCAUCCCAGCUGAUAAGGUGAUCGCUCCCUCUCCUGUAUUCCUAUCAUUGUGAGGCCAUUUGCCUGGAAGUCCUCAGCAGAACCGUUUGCAAACAGCACCACAUUCUUGAAGCUCCAGAACUGUGAACUAAACAAACUUCUUUAUAAAACAACCAGCUUCAGGCAUUUUGUAACAGUAACAGGAAACAAAUACACUGUUGCAGGUACUGCCUCUGUGGAUUCGAGUCUGAGAUACAUAGUUACCAAAGAACAACAUAACCAGUGCAAACACAAACUGAAAGAAACCUUAUAGUAGGAGCUGAAUUCGACUUCAAUCAGAACAAGAAAACAGAAAGCUCCCAUAAUAAUGCUGUUAAGACAAAGAAAUACAUCGUGUAAGAAACUCUUCCUCUUAGAGUCAAGAAACACACACUUCUUCUCUCAAAAAGAAUUGGGAAAGGUGCCAAGAAACUUCAAGAAAAAACGAAGUGAACAGGCAUGAAAGCACAUACCUGGAAGUCUGGCAUUCAGGAAGCAAAGGCAGGGGAUCCCGAGUGAACUACAAAGUGAACCACACAGGAGUGUGAGGCUGUUCAGAACCAGACAACAAGAGCCUUCUAAAACCUAACAACAUAAAACUGUACCGCAAGCUUGUAAUUCAAAUAUGAUCAUGUGGCU